GAUGAACGCUGGCGGCGUGCCUAAUACAUGCAAGUCGAGCGAACAGAUGAGGAGCUUGCUCCUCUGACGUUAGCGGCGGACGGGUGAGUAACACGUGGAUAACCUACCUAUAAGACUGGGAUAACUUCGGGAAACCGGCGCUAAUACCGGAUAAUAUCUUGAACCGCAUGGUUCAAUAGUGAAAGACGGUUUUGCUGUCACUUAUAGAUGGAUCCGCGCCGCAUUAGCUAGUUGGUAAGGUAACGGCUUACCAAGGCAACGAUGCGUAGCCGACCUGAGAGGGGGAUCGGCCACACUGGAACGGAGACACGGUCCAGACGCCUACGGGAGGCAGCAGUAGGGAAUCUUCCGCAAUGGGCGAAAGCCUGACGGAGCAACGCCGCGUGAGUGAUGAAGGUCUUCGGAUCGUAAAACUCUGUUAUUAGGGAAGAACAAAUGUGUAAGUAACUAUGCACGUCUUGACGGUACCUAAUCAGAAAGCCACGGCUAACUACGUG
rnacentral:rRNA from 1 species